ensembl:lncRNA
AGAGAGACUAUUUUCACUCUAAGAGAGUGGGCUCAGAUUAAAGAACUGGUCAGCAUUCUGAAGCCCUUUGCUGAUGCCACUGAUCUCACUCAGGGAGAGAAAGUUGUAACCGUAAGUGCUGUGAUUCCCUGUGUUCUCUCCCUCAACCAUCACUUGGAAAACCAGAAAGAAGGAACACAAUACUUGGUCAACCUAAUCCACAGUCUUCAAAGAUCACUGCAAAGAAGAUUCAAAGGCAUCUUUGUCAAUGUAAAAAUGUCUCAGCCAGAGACCAAUGAAGGAAUCCUGCCAUUCUCUGAUCCUGUUUAUAUCAAAGCAGCUGUUCUUGAUCCAGCCUUUGGGGUUAUUUGGAUAGAGCAUGAUGUAUUGGUUGAUGACAAGCUGAAGGAGCAGUUGACCAUGGAAGUAAAAAAUCUGAUUCUCCAGGAGGCAGAGCAUACCAAUAUGGAACAGACAGGUCAUGGAGAUGAAGAAGAGCAAAUCAAAGGUGAUGAAACUGGGCUGUUCUUAUACCACAAAAAGCAGAAGAAAUCCACUCAUUUCAGCCCUGCUGCCCAGCUCAACCAUUACCUGGACAAUUGUGAUGGCCAGAACUGCCUUUUGUUUUGGGGAAUGAACAAGGAGAAAAUGCCUUCACUGUUCCAAAUCGCAAUGAGGGUAUUAGCUGUGCCUGCUUCAAGCGCACCUGUCGAGCGUGUGUUCAGUCAUGGGGGGAUUAUUAUGCGGCCCCAUCGUUCACAGCUUAGUGCCAUUGUCUUGGCAAACCUUAUUUUCUGUAAAUGCAACACAUUUUAGACCGUUUCAAUUAAAUUGAAUUAGACAGAUUGGAUUAUACAUCUUAGACUCAAAACGUUUUGUGUAAACAAUUUUAUUUUCAGAUAUAAAUGUAGCACAGAUAUGCAUAUGAUUCAUAUAUAGCAAAUGUAUAAUGAAUAAGAUACAUAAUAUAUGUAUACAAGUUCAUCUUUUCUGUGCAAAAAUAAAUAUGUAUUGAAAAAAUUUACCUCUAUUUAU